ACGCUGGCGGCAGGCCUAACACAUGCAAGUCGAGCGGUAGAGAGAAGCUUGCUUCUCUUGAGAGCGGCGGACGGGUGAGUAAUGCCUAGGAAUCUGCCUGGUAGUGGGGGAUAACGUCCGGAAACGGACGCUAAUACCGCAUACGUCCUACGGGAGAAAGCAGGGGACCUUCGGGCCUUGCGCUAUCAGAUGAGCCUAGGUCGGAUUAGCUAGUUGGUGGGGUAAUGGCUCACCAAGGCGACGAUCCGUAACUGGUCUGAGAGGAUGAUCAGUCACACUGGAACUGAGACACGGUCCAGACUCCUACGGGAGGCAGCAGUGGGGAAUAUUGGACAAUGGGCGAAAGCCUGAUCCAGCCAUGCCGCGUGUGUGAAGAAGGUCUUCGGAUUGUAAAGCACUUUAAGUUGGGAGGAAGGGCAGUUACCUAAUACGUGAUUGUUUUGACGUUACCGACAGAAUAAGCACCGGCUAACUCUGUGCCAGCAGCCGCGGUAAUACAGAGGGUGCAAGCGUUAAUCGGAAUUACUGGGCGUAAAGCGCGCGUAGGUGGUUCGUUAAGUUGGAUGUGAAAUCCCCGGGCUCAGCCUGGGAACUGCAUUCAAAACUGACGAGCUAGAGUAUGGUAGAGGGUGGUGGAAUUUCCUGUGUAGCGGUGAAAUGCGUAGAUAUAGGAAGGAACACCAGUGGCGAAGGCGACCACCUGGACUGAUACUGACACUGAGGUGCGAAAGCGUGGGGAGCAAAC
rnacentral:rRNA from 1 species